rnacentral:rRNA from 1 species
UACGGAAGGCAGCAGUGGGGAAUAUUGCACAAUGGGCGAAAGCCUGAUGCAGCUAUGCCGCGUGUAUGAAGAAGGCCUUAGGGUUGUAAAGUACUUUCAUCGGGGAGGAAAAACAAAACUAAUAAUUUUAUUUCUUGACGUUACCCGAAAAAGAAGCACCGGCUAACUCCGUGCCAGCAGCCGCGGUAAUACGGAGGGUGCUAGCGUUAAUCAGAAUUACUGGGCGUAAAGAGCACGUAGGUGGUUUUUUAAGUCAGAUGUGAAAAUCCCUGGGCUUAACCUAGGAACUGCAUUUUGAAACUGAAAUACUAGAGUAUCGUAGAGGGAGGUAGAAUUCUAGGUGUAGCGGUGAAAAUGCGUAGAUAUCUGGAGGAAUACCUGUGGCGAAAAGCGGCCUCCUAAACGAAUACUGACACUGAGGUGCGAAAAGCGUGGGGAGCAAAACAGGGAUUAGAUACC